CAGGGCUUCUAUACAAAGCUAACUAAACACCGAUGCCGCUGUUUCAUGACAUCAGUGAAGGCGCGUUGAAACGAGGCGAUCACAUCUACGUGUGGCGUAUAUACUACCAUCACGAUGGUAUCUGGGACGGCAGAAAAGUCAUCCACUUCGCUGGAGUAAAACCUGGCGACAAAUCCAACGCGACAAUACGCAGAACUACCCUCGACGUAUUCCUAAAUGGUGGCAAUCUUAAGAUCUACCUUUACGGUGUGAGCUGGUUGAAUACAUGGUACGAGUGGCUUAGCACGUCUACAUUGCAGGAGAGCGACUCGCCGGAUACCGUGAUGAAGCGAGCGGAGAGCCGGAUCGGAGAUCAUGGUUACAACCUGGUUCGUAACAACUGCGAACAUUUCGCGGUCUGGUGCAAGGUGGGAAAACGCACCAAUAAAGUGUUGAAGCAAAUACAAUAUACAAUCGAUUAUAUAAGGUAAAUGUGUAGGGUUUUUAUAACGUUUUCUAAACGUUUGUAAAAACGUUUUUAUUGUAUUUGUAAACGUUAAACGUUAACGUGAUCAGGUUACGGUCAUUGUGACGUCAUCAUCAACGUCAGCAGGUAAUCGCGCAUUCGCGCCGGCAAGCGGACUGCCGCGUAUUCUUCUAUCAUCGCUAGCAACUUGACCACUAAACUAUAACAAUAUAUAUAUCCGUAUAUAGUUCAGUGAACUUGACACACAUUUAUCAGUAUUAGUAACUACAGUGACAGUCCGUUUACCUAUAGGUGGCAUACAUUAAUAAUCAUGCGCAAAUUGUUCACCGCGUUGCACUUUUGUCUAGAAAAAAGGCUUUCCUUUGAAUUUUCGGUAAAAUUAGGAACUAGAGUGCAAUACUUUGCAUGAUGGCAGCAAGGUAGAAGCCCCGUGCACGUCUAGAAAGCAUUAAGUUAGAUUAGUUUUGUGGUGUAAUAUUCCUGCGGUCGCGUCAAGUGGUGUAGCCAUAGUGGCGGUUGACCAUUUUGUAUUUGAAAAUUCUUAAAAUCAAUGUGGCAAAUGUUUCAAGUGAAGAUCGGUGUUUGAAUCUGUAGUGAUUUAACGUGAAUAAAGUGUACGUCGCGUAUGAGACGAAACUCUCUCUAA